GGAGUGGAAGGCGACAGCCCCAAGUCUAGCUGGUCAAGCCAGCAGGGAGCAGUAGGGAGACGGCGGCAGCGUGUGACUGACCUUGGCUCGUUGAGGUGUCCACCACAGCGGAAGAAUCAGAAAACGGCAUCUGAUGUCUAGCUCACUCUCAUCUAAGAAACGCCGUGUUUCUGGGCCUGAUUCAACACUAGAGUCUCACUGUUUCCCUACCUACCCUGUGACGUUGGAAGUGCCCUCAGAACCAACCAACGGAAUGCAGAAAAGUAUUGAAACAGACAUAGAUGAAGGC